rnacentral:rRNA from 1 species
GAGUUUGAUCAUGGCUCAGAUUGAACGCUGGCGGCAUGCCUUACACAUGCAAGUCGAACGGCAGCACGGGAGCUUGCUCCUGGUGGCGAGUGGCGAACGGGUGAGUAAUGCAUCGGAACGUAUCCUGGAGUGGGGGAUAACGUAGCGAAAGUUACGCUAAUACCGCAUAUUCUGUGAGCAGGAAAGCGGGGGACCUUCGGGCCUCGCGCUCUUGGAGCGGCCGAUGUCGGAUUAGCUAGUUGGUGAGGUAAAGGCUCACCAAGGCGACGAUCCGUAGCAGGUCUGAGAGGAUGAUCUGCCACACUGGAACUGAGACACGGUCCAGACUCCUACGGGAGGCAGCAGUGGGGAAUUUUGGACAAUGGGGGGCAACCCUGAUCCAGCCAUGCCGCGUGAGUGAAG